rnacentral:rRNA from 1 species
UACGUAGGGUGCAAGCGUUAAUCGGAAUUACUGGGCGUAAAGCGUGCGCAGGCGGUUAUGUAAGACAGAUGUGAAAUGCCCGGGCUUAACCUGGGAACUGCAUUUGUGACUGCAUGGCUAGAGUGUGUCAGAGGGGGGGUAGAAUUCCACGUGUAGCAGUGAAAUGCGUAGAUAUGUGGAGGAACACCGAUGGCGAAGGCAGCCCCCCUGGGAUAACACUGACGCUCAUGCACGAAAGCGUGGGGAGCAAACAGG